AGGGAGGGAGGGAGGAAGCAAGCACCUCCACCAUUGUAGGCAGGAUCUGUGAGAGCUGAACAGGGCCAGGCAGCUAGGUACCACUCUGGGACUCUGGGGUUUCUUAGGGGAUGACGUGUUUCUGCGGUCCAGGUAAGAGGAAUUCAGGGUCACACAUCCAAGGAUGUGAGUCCAUGUGGCAGCUGGGCCCCUCGGAGCCCCUCUGUGUUCUGGUCUCCUCUAAAUGCAGAUGAUGAUGAGAAUCCAUGCCUAGUCCACGGCUUGGCCGGUCUCCGGAAGAGUGUGUUUCCUACAGCACUCGGUGCAGCAGGAGGCAGGAGAGAGAACUGAACAUCCAGCCAGCCUCCCACCAGAGCUCAGGCCACAGGCUUCAGGAUCCGCUGCCAUCCUCACCGGCUUAGCUCCCUGCUGCAGGCUCAGUUAAGAAACCCUGGGAGGUGGGCUGCUCCAAGUGCAGGCUGCCCCCCAGGCAUGUGGAACACCAGCCCUGACUGCCAGGGCCAUCUGAGGUGGACUGACCAUCCCCUGGGCACUUGGAGGUAGUGUGGGCAUGGUGUGAGGAGUGGCCAUUCAUCAUCCUUUCCUGCAAGGCCUGGGCCAGGUUAGAGAUGAACCCCAGCAGUCUCAUACCCACCAAGGCCACUGGGAGCUUUCACAUAGUCACUGCCAGGAGUGGCUGCUGGCUGGGGAGAGGAUCCUGGAGUGCCGGUCAUCGGAGGCCCUCACAGGUGACCGGGAACGUGGUGGAGCAGCAGGAUACCUCUUCUCUGCCAUGCUCUGUGUUGGGAUUUGCUCUGGUGCCCCUGCAGCCACUUAACAGCUCGCCUGGCGAGGAUUGGGUAUUGCCGGCCCAAGGCCUGCUUCAAAGCCUAAAUAUCUGUGGGGUGGGCACAGGGAGGGGUGCACCCCAGAAAGCAGUCCUGGGAUCUACCUUUCCACUUUAGCCUUUCUUCCUGCUGGGGGGCCUUCCUCCCAUGAGUAUUGUCAGUUCUUAGCAAGUAGAAAUACAGGAUACCUAGUUAUAUUUGUAUUUCAAAUAAAGAUUUGAACAAGAGUUUAGUAUAAGCACAUGCCAAAUGUUGCAUGGGUGUUCUGCAUUUAUCUAGCAGCUGUACCUGCUAGACUUUGGGCUGUGUAGUUAGGUCUUUGGAAAUGACACCUGCAUGGGCAGGGAGCUGAGGCUGCCGGCUGGGGUGAGCCAGGGCUGGCCACCAGGCUUCAGAGCCCGCAUGCAGAGAAUGGAUGUGGGGUUAGAAGGGGCCGGAAGAACCAGCCUCUGCAGGUGCAGAAGAGAGAAGCUGCAUACACUCCCAAGGCCCCGUGAGCCCUCACGUGGGUGGGCUGUGGUCUCCCGGGGCCUGCUAGGAAAUCCCCCUCCACCUGAGCUCACUUAAGAAGGUCUCUGUUUUCCAAACCCUGUCCCCUGUAGCACCUGCCCUGCAGUAGUCACGAGGAACUCUCCCAUGAGGUGCAGAGGAUGCUCACUCAGUGACCCCUGGGCCACCCCACAUCACAGGGAUGGGGCUCUCUAGUGGUCCUAGGAGUACCUCAUUUCUGUCACAUCCCCACCCCUGGGCCUACAGGACGUGAGCUUGAAGGGAACUGAAAAGACUGGGCAUGAGAGGGAAGGGCCAGGAUAGAUGCAUCUUCAGUAGAAGGAAGGGGCUGUGUCUUCCUGCCCCCACACAGGGGCUGGGUAACUUGCUUUUUUUUCAUUAACAGGUUCGCCUUAGGGGAAAAGGGGGCCUCACCAAAGGAGGGCUCCUAGUGGAUCAGCCUAGCUUAGGAGAAUUCUGUGUUGGGCUUUGCAGCCAAAGACCAAUUAGUUAUUAGAAUUUUUCAUUUGUAAGUGUUUGAGGAUAUGGCUCAAGCUAGCUUAAACAGAAAGAGGAAAUUUAUUGGCUGUGGAAUGGGACAUAGCUUCAGGCACUGUUGGUUUUAGGAGAUCAAGUUGAAUCCAUAUUCUGUCUCUCUUACACACUCUGUGUCUCCACAAUUCUCUUCUGUUCCCCGCUUUUUAGGUUUCUUCCUCAGACCAGCUCUCCCAGCAGCAACCUGAUCAUCAACAGCUCCAAGGUCCCUGGCAGAUGACACUCCUGGAUCCCUCACAUGACCACCUAGGAUGUCUUGGGUGGAGACUGAGCCACUGCCUGCCACCAGGGUGACUGCUCCUCCAAGAGUUGCCCAGAUCUGAAGUGCACCUUGUGUGAUGGGAGACGCACCUUCGCUGUGCUCAGCCUUGAGGUUUGGUGCUGUCUGCUGCUGCAGCACAUGCUGGCCUCUCCUGACACCUCAGCAGUCCCUGGGCAAGCUGAGGCUCCACCGGCCCCAUGAUAGCUGAUCUGCUCCUUCUCUAGUCUCGGGAUCUGCGCCCUGCCCCUUCUCUAUCAAAUAUUCCUGGGCUGGCUGAUUGAAAUACUAAUAUGAGCUAAUAUCUUUUUUUAAAAAAAUUAAAUUGACAAAACUGUAUACAUGUAUGGUGUACAACAUGAUAUAUACAUGUGAGAGAUACAGU